rnacentral:rRNA from 1 species
UAGGGAAUCUUCGGCAAUGGACGAAAGUCUGACCGAGCAACGCCGCGUGAGUGAAGAAGGUUUUCGGAUCGUAAAACUCUGUUGUUAGAGAAGAACAAGGACGUUAGUAACUGUACGUCCCCUGACGGUAUCUAACCAGAAAGCCACGGCUAACUACGUGCCAGCAGCCGCGGUAAUACGUAGGUGGCAAGCGUUGUCCGGAUUUAUUGGGCGUAAAGCGAGCGCAGGCGGUUUCUUAAGUCUGAUGGGAAAGCCCCCGGCUCAACCGGGGAGGGUCAUUGGAAACUGGGAGACUUGAGUGCAGAAGAGGAGAGUGGAAUUCCAUGUGUAGCGGUGAAAUGCGUAGAUAUAUGGAGGAACACCAGUGGCGAAGGCGGCUCUCUGGUCUGUAACUGACGCUGAGGCUCGAAAGCGUGGGGAGCAAACAGG